rnacentral:lncRNA from 1 species
UUUGACGUCUGUCUCUUUGGGUUUGUCUUUGCCAAAAGUGAAAUUAAAUUCUUCGUGUCAGCCCAGCUAAGGGUAGAGAGCCAGAGCGGAGGCUGAGGUCGGUGCGGAUGCUGCGUGGGACAGGAAAAAGACUCCAUUGACUGUCACAAUCAGACUCGAAAGAUCUAAGGUCGGAAAUGUGUUGGGAAAUAUCCUCCUCCCCCCCGACACUGAAAUACAUACAAGUUUUAGCUGCCAAACGAUAGCAGAAA